CACCGCGGUUAUACGAGAGGCUCAAGUUGACAGAUAACGGCGUAAAGAGUGGUUAAGGUGUCCACCAAACUAAAGUCGAAUACCCUCAGAACUGUUAUACGUUUCCGAAGGAAAGAAGCCCCACCACGAAAGUGACUUUACCACCCCUGACCCCACGAAAGCUGUGGCA
rnacentral:rRNA from 1 species